rnacentral:rRNA from 1 species
ACUCCGCAAGGAGUAUCCCACGCUGAAUACAUAGGCGUGCGGAAGCGAACCCCGGCGAACUGAAACAUCUAAGUAGCCGGAGGAAAAGAAAUCAACCGAGAUUCCCAAAGUAGUGGCGAGCGAAAUGGGACCAGCCUGCAAGUGAUAGCGAUUGCGUUAGCGGAAGUCUCUGGAAAGUGGCGCCGUAGUGGGUGAAAGCCCCGUACGCGAAAACCCGAUCGUGGUACUAAGUUUGCGACAAGUAGGGCGGGGCACGAGAAAUCCUGUCUGAACAUGGGGGGCCCAUCCUCCAAGGCUAAAUACUCGUAAUCGACCGAUAGUGCACCAGUACCGUGAGGGAAAGGCGAAAAGAACCCCGGGAGGGGAGUGAAAUAGAUCCUGAAACCGCAUGCAUACAAACAGUGGGAGCCUCCUUGAGGGGUGACUGCGUACCUUUUGUAUAAUGGGUC